UCAGGUUGUAGGGGGUGUAAAGUACCCUCUAGCCAUCAACGCGUACGGGUGUUGGGAGACAUUGCCCGGAGAUGGAUUCUGAGACACGAAUCCAGACCCUACGGGGUGCAGCAGGCGCGAAAACUUGGCAAUGCGAGCAAUCGUGACCAGGGAACUCCAAGUGCGUAGGGUAAGACCUACGCUUUUCUUGACUCUUCAAAGGUCUUGGAAUAAGGGGUGGGUAAGGACGGUGCCAGCCGCCGCGGUAAUACCGGCGCCUCAAGUGGUAGUCGCUUUUAUUGGGCCUAAAACGUCCGUAGCCGGUCUGGUACAUUCGUGGGUAAAUCAACCCGCUCAACGGGUUGAAUUCUGCGAGCACGGCCAGACUUGGGACCGGGAGAGGUGUGGGGUACUCUCAGGGUAGGGGUAAAAUCCUGUCAUCCUGAGAGGACCACCUGUUGCGAAGGCGCCACACUAGAACGGAUCCGACGGUCAGGGACGAAACCUAGGGGCACGAACCGGAUUAGAUACCCGGGUAGUCCUAGGUGUAAACGCUGUGGACUUGAUGUUGGGGGCGCUCCGAGCGCUUUCAGUGUCGAAGCGAAGGUGAUAAGUCCACUGCCUGGGGAGUACGGUCGCAAGGCUGAAACUUAAAGGAAUUGGCGGGGGAGCACUGCAACCUGAGGAUUGUGCGGUUUAAUUGGACUCAAC
rnacentral:rRNA from 1 species